AGCACUGGCGCUACCGGCAUUUCGUGCACAUGAACAAAAUCAGAAAUUGUGCACAUUAUAUAUUACCCUCUGAGAACAUUCAUGGACAUUGGCUUAGUUCAUGUCCACGUUUUCAAUGUCCAUAGAGGGAGUAUCGCUUUCACAGAUCACCUAAAAGGACCCUGCUAUAGAUUAUGUAUAGUCCAAUUAUGGGAACGGACCGAGAUGAAAUAUUUUUACACAUACUUCGCGAAGAAAAGAAUAUUAAUAAUUUUUUGGAUGCCUUUUUUGGAUUUUUAUACAGAUGAUUUUUACGUCGAAUCAAAUUCGGAGCAAAAAUUGGGCUUCCCAUCUGGAGUAGCAGAGAAACUUGUGUUAAGUAGCAUGUACAAAUGGAAAAAUAUUGCAUCAACUUUACAAAAGACAAUAUCAUCUGUAGAGGAUAGCACACUCAAUAAUAGCAGUAGCGUAUCACAUUCAAAUCAAUUGACUUUGACAGACAAUAAAAAUUGCAGUCUUACUCCACCAGUUGUGCAAGAAAUUGAGAUUGACUCAUGCACUGAAUCUACGGAUGUUAAUCUACCUCUUGCAGAAUCACUCAAGAUAGAUCAUGUAUCAGAUAGUUAUAAUGGAGCUAUAAGAGACAAUUAUGUAUGGACACAGACACUCAAUGAUUUGGAUGUACUGGUAAAAAUACCAGAACAUAUUAAAACAUCCAAAGAUACGAUCAAAGUCAAUAUAAGUUCAGACGAAAUCAAAAUCGAUGUCAAGCCUUUAAAUUCUUUAGCAAAUUGUGAAUGGGAUAACAUUUUUGAUGGCAAGCUUAGUUUUAAGAUUCGAAAAGAUGAAUCUAUAUGGAGUAUUGAACCUGGAAAACACAUAAAUAUUCAUCUUGAGAAAGCUACUGAAAGAUGGUGGGAAGCCUUAAUAAUCGAUGAACCGAAAAUCGACUUAAGCAAAAUUGAUUGUUCGAAACAUUUCGAUGAUAUGAUGCCAGAGGAACAGAUGAAAGUACAGAAAUUAAUGUGGAAUCAACAACAAAAACUUUUAGGCAAAUCCACAUCUGAACAAAUUAAGAUGGAGGCUAUUUUGAAGCAGGCAUGGAAUGCAAAAGGAUCACCUUUUCAGGGAAAUACAAAGCGUCUACGAAAGCAAAAAGCGACGCUUCCGCGAGCAAAAGAACUCUGCGGCGACACCCUGUGAAAUCAUGAGCGAUCCAAGAGUUCACAGAAUGCGAGGAAUCCUACGCUUUUCCCCGACGUUUACGCUGACUUUAUCUCACGCUGGUGGUGGGAUCGCUAGGGACGAGCUGUUGAAUAAUAACACUUGCAACGACUGUGACGGUCGGAAGUCUGAGGAAUUCCUGCGAAAGGAUAGCGGAUCUUUUUUCCGAAUGAAGAGAUCUUCCCCGAGCUUCUUGAUGCCAGGUGCGGCAGGUCGCGCGCGUUGAGCACCGCUGCGGGUAAAACACAGGUAAUAUACCUGCCCGAGGCUACGAGUCCGUCCCCACCUGGGGUCCGGUUCUCUCUCCUCGCUCUCUCGGCUGGCUCUCGGCUCUGGCUUUCCUUCGAGGCCAGUCGAGCCGUUAGUGUCGUUGCCGUUGCCAGAAGAACGGUGCUGUGAUGUGCAUCGUGGUGGAGCACGCAUCCUGAAGGACGUACUCGUCGACCAUCCACCGAGAUUCCGGGGUUCGCUGGAACCUCCGAACUCCGCAGUCCCUUCCUCCUCCUCGAAUCGCGGUGAUCACCCUUCGGUCCUCGCGUUCUCCAAAGCCCGCUCUCGCGGUCCAGCUCUCCUCCUCUCCGUUUCUCACCUAUAAAAACACACCGCGCGGUAACACGCUUCGCGUGGCAACUCUUCCUUCCCCGGAAGGUGCGCGGAUGCCCAAGUAAACGGUAGUAAGUAAGCACGUAAGUUGCGCGGUGAGUUGUGAGGUGAAGCUAACGGAAGACGAUCGAGGAGGAAGAGGGCUCCAAGAGGAGAGA